GCGCGGGCUGCCGCAGGGUCGCGUUGCAGUUGCUCUGCUCUCUUUGGAAUCCUGCAAGGCCGGCCACCGGGUUCCUGUUCUUCCCGGGGCGCAGAUUUGGGCGCAGCCUGGGUCGCACACAGCGCGCGUCCUUUCUCAGAAUGAAAAUGGAGGUUUUUACUAAGCACAGUGAAUGGUGAAGAUAGUUUACUGGAAAUUUUUGACUCUGGAGACAAAUUGAAAUCCACUAGAAUGCAUCCUCUGAAAACAAGCGAAAGGAACUGUUAAAAUGUGAUCCAUUGCAAGGGUCAAAUACAGAUUGCUUGCUACAUGUGAAGGAAUUAACUCCCAAGGACCAGUCCUCUACAAGUGACUUUUGCCUUUGGAGCACGCUUGUGGGAGUUGCCUUUGAUCCUGGCCUGCUGUCCCUGGGGGAAGGACUGUGGUGAGUGGACAGCAUGUGCCCAGUACCACUGGGAAUGAGAAGGCUUCUCUACUCCAGCCACUCGUCACCACGUGGGAAUCUGGGGUGCAGGAUGAUGUGGGAUCAGAUCUGUUUUGUUUUGUCUUUUGAAGAAAAGUGGCAAUCUAGAUAUUUCUGUGGAAUCUCCUGAUUUUAAAUGCGCUGGGUUGAAUAGUGUUCUCCUCAAAUUCAUGUUCAUCUGGAACCUCAGAACGUGGUCUUAUUAGAAAUAGGGUCUUUGCAGAUGCAAGAUGGGAUCCCGUGGCUCCCAGUCCAGUGUGUCCUUAUAUGAAGAGAAAAUAGGGACUUAGAUACACAGUGGGAAGAUGGCCACGUGAAGACAGGCAGAGAUUGGACUUACGCUGCCUCACGCCCAGGAAUGCCAAGAAUUGCCAACAUCCACCAGAAGCUAGAAUUAAGGGAGAAUUCUUCGUCCGGGGGGCAGGUGGGAGGCAUGGCCCUACUGACACCUUGAUUUUGAACUUUAAGCCUCUAGAACUGUGAGAGAAUAAAUUCCUGUUGUUUU